rnacentral:rRNA from 1 species
CAAUAGCGUAUAUUAAAGUUGUUGCAGUUAAACAGCUCGUAGCUGAACUGAUGAAGUUUGUUCCUCAAGCUCUAAAGAGUUCGAAUGAACGUAAGCUUCAACCUGUUGAUUGGAAAUGGUAAAUUUGAGUGUUUCAAGCAGGCUGACUGCCUUGAAUACUCCAGCAUGGAAUAAUCGAAUGACAUUCGAAGUUUUUGUUGGUUGACGCGGAGAUGUAUUGAUUGAUAGGAACAGCUGGGGGUAUUCGUAUUCAACAGUCAGAGGUGAAAUUCUUAGAUUUGUUGAAGACGAACUAAUGCGAAAGCAUUUACCAAGAAUGUUUCCAUUA